rnacentral:lncRNA from 1 species
GUGGAUCAGGCGCACUGCAGGGAGGUGGGUGCGCGGCAUCUUCACCCCUCUAAAUGCGGCUCCUACUCUGUAGCUGACAGACACCCACAGACGUGUCUGUAGCAUCCUCUGUCACACUGGGACCCGUACUGGCAGCAGGAGCCGUAGGGAGGACUGGGACACCUGGAAGCCAGGAAUUGGACUCAGUGACCUUUGAGGAUGUGGCUGUGAACUUCACCCAGGAGGAGUGGGCUUUGCUGGGUCCUUCCCAGAAGAAUCUCUACAGAGAUGUGAUGUGGGAAACCUUCAGGAACCUGAUGUCUGUAGAAGUCAUAUGGUAGAGAGAGUCUGAAGGUAAGGAAGAUGGUCAAUGUGAAGAGAUCUUCAGCCUUGUUCCAAAUGGUAUAGUGAAGACGACUUUUACUGGAGUCAAAUCAUGUGAAAGCAGUGUGUGUGAAGAAGGCAAUAUGGAUCAUUCAUCUCUUAAUUGCUGCAUCAGAGCUGACACUGGACACAAAUCAGAUGAGUGUCAGCAACAUAGAAGCCACAUAAGCAGUGUGUGAAAACCUUCAGCUAUUGCCACUCCUUUCAAACACAUGAAAGGCCUCACACUGGAAAGAAACUCCAUGUAAGAAAUGUGGAAAAACCUUCAUUUCUGUUCAAACCUUUUGAAGAUACAUGGUAAUGCACAGUGAAGAUGAACCUUAUAAAUGUAAGUUUUGUGGGAAGGCCUUUGAUAAUCUACAUUUAUAUCUUACACAUGAAAGAACUCACACUGGAGAGAAACCCUAUGAAUGUAAUAAAUGUGGGAAAGCCUUCAGUUGUUCCAGUUCCAUUCGAAAACAUGCAAGAAUUCACACUGGAGAGAAACCCUAUAUAUGUAAACAAUGUGGCAAAGCCUUUAGAUAUUCCAGUUCUAUUCGAAAUCAUGAAAACACUCACACUGGUGAAAAACCCUGUGAAUGUAAGCAAUGUGGGAAAGCCUUUAGUUAUUCCAGUUACUUUCGAAUACAUGAAAGAAUUCACACUGGAGAGCAGGUGUAUAAAUGUAAGGAAUGUGGGAAAACAUUCACUUAUCCCAGUGCCUUUCAUAAACAUAAAAGUACCCACACUUCACAGAAACUUUAUGAAUGUAAGGAAUGUGGGAAAGCAUUUGAUUGUUUUAGUUCCUUUCAUAGUCAUGAAGGGGUUCACACUGGAGAGAAACCCUAUGAAUGCAGAACGUGGAAAAGCCUUCAGUAGUUCUAAGUACUUAAAAAUACAUGGAAGAACUCACACUGGAGAGAAGUCCUAUGCAGUAAAGAAUGAGGGAAAGUAUUUUAUUGUCUCAGUCCCCUUCAAAGACAUGAAAGGACUCACAUCAGAGAAAAGUUGUAUGAAUGUAAAAAAUGUGAUAAAGCCUUCCAUUCGUCCAGUACUGUUAGAAACCAUGAAAGAAGUCACAUUUAAGAAAAACACAGUGAUGUUAGGAAUAUGGGGAACCUUUCCUUUCUCUUCCAGUCUUUGGAAGGCACAGGGUAUGACACACUGGUGACCUUAUAACUGUAAGGAGUGUGGAUAAGUAUUUAUUAGUCCUUGUGUGUUUUAGAUACAUGAAAGAAUUUACUCAAAAGGAAACUCUAUGAAUGUAAAGAAUGUGGUAAAACCUGUGUAGUUUCAGUUUCUCUUGAAUAAAGUCAUUUCCUGGUAUUCUCAGGGGAUUGGUUCCAGCACCCCUUGAGAAUAUAUAAUUUUGCUCAAGUGCUUUACAGAAAAGUGUAUUUGCCUAUAACUAGGCAAUCCUGUAUACUUUAAAUCAUCUCUAGAUUACUUAUAAUACCUAAUGCAUUGUAAAUGCUAUGAAGACAACUGUUUUAUUGUAUUUAGGGAAGUAUGACAAGAAAAAACAUCUGUACAUAUUCAGUACAGACACAACCACCAUACGGCUACCUACCUAGUACACAUCAUCUACAAUAUAACAUUUUCUUUUUAAAAAACAGUUAUGGAUUGGUUUCAUUAAAUGACCUGCAAGCGUGUGUUAA